AAUCAACGCUGGCGGCGUGCCUCAGACAUGCAAGUCGAACGCGAAAUUCCCCUUCGGGGAGAAAGUAGAGUGGCGCACGGGUGAGUAACACGUAGGUAAUCUACCUUUGGAUGGGGAAUAACCCAGAGAAAUCUGGGCUAAUACCGCAUAAUGCAGCGGCACCUAAUGGUGACAGUUGUUAAAGCGGGGGAUCGAAAGACCUCGCGUCUAAAGAGGAGCCUGCGGCGGAUUAGCUAGUUGGUAAGGUAAUGGCUUACCAAGGCUACGAUCCGUAACCGGCCUGAGAGGGCGGUCGGUCACACUGACACUGACAUACGGGUCAGACUCCUACGGGAGGCAGCAGUCGGGAAUUUUGGGCAAUGGGCGAAAGCCUGACCCAGCAACGCCGCGUGAAGGAUGAAAUCCCUCGGGAUGUAAACUUCGCAAGAACGGGAAGAAUAAGUAGGGGACAAUACCCCCUAUGAUGACGGUACCGUUUGUAAGCUCCGGCUAACUCCGUGCCAGCAGCCGCGGUAAUACGGGGGGAGCAAGCGUUGUUCGGAUUUACUGGGCGUAAAGGGCGCGUAGGCGGCCAGCGCAAGUCAGUUGUGAAAUCUCCGAGCUUAACUCGGAAAGGUCAACUGAUACUGCGCGGCUAAGAGUGCAGA
rnacentral:rRNA from 1 species